rnacentral:rRNA from 1 species
AACGAACGCUGGCGGCGUGUUUAAGACACGCAAGUCGCACGGGAUAAGACAUGUAGUAAUACUUGUUUUAUUUAGUGGCGCACGGGUGAGUAACACGUGAAUUACAUGCCCUAUAGUGGGGAAUAGCCCAGGGAAACUUGGAUUAAUACCCCAUGGUAUCGAAAGAUUAAAGGUGGCCGCAAGGCUGUCGCUAUAGGAUUGGUUCGCGCCCUAUCAGCUUGUUGGUGAGGUAACGGCUCACCAAGGCAAUGACGGGUACCUGGUCUGAGAGGACGAUCAGGCACACUGGAACUGAGACCCGGUCCAGACACCUACGGGUGGCAGCAGUCGAGAAUAAUUCACAAUGGGGGCAAACCUGAUGGUGCAACGCCGCGUGGAGGAUGACGGUCUUCGGAUUGUAAACUCCUGUCAUAUGGGAGAAAGACCUGACGGCAAAUAGCCGGCAGGGUUGAUAGUACCAGAAGAGGAAGGGACGGCUAACUUCGUGCCAGCAGCCGCGGUAA